rnacentral:rRNA from 1 species
GACGAACGCUGGCGGCGUGCUUAACACAUGCAAGUCGAACGGAAAGAGAUGAAAGAGCUUGCUCUUUUAUUAAUUUCAGUGGCAAACGGGUGAGUAACACGUAAACAACCUGCCUUAAGGAUGGGGAUAACAGACGGAAACGACUGCUAAUACCGAAUACGUUCUAAGCAUCGCAUGAUGCAUAGAAGAAAGGGUGGCCUCUACAAGAAAGCUAUCGCCUUAAGAGGGGUUUGCGACUGAUUAGGUAGUUGGUGAGGUAACGGCUCACCAAGCCGACGAUCAGUAGCCGGUCUGAGAGGAUGAACGGCCACACUGGAACUGAGACACGGUCCAGACUCCUACGGGAGGCAGCAGCGGGGAAUCUUCCGCAAUGGACGAAAGUCUGACGGAGCAACGCCGCGUGAACGAAGAAGGUCUUCGGAUUGUAAAGUUCUGUGAUUCGGGACGAAAGGGUUUGUGGUGAAUAAUCAUAGACAUUGACGGUACCGAAAAAGCAAGCC